GAUUGUAUAGCUUAGUGGUAAGAUGCCUGUCUCACAAGCAGGCGAUCCCGGGUUCGAUCCCCGGUGUGGGCU
rnacentral:tRNA from 1 species